UACGUAGGUGGCAAGCGUUGUUCGGAAUUAUUGGGCGUAAAGGGCGCGUAGGCGGUCUUGUAAGUCAGCUGUGAAAGCCCGGGGCUCAACCCCGGAGGGUCGGCUGAUACUGCAGGACUGGAGUACGGAAGAGGGGGAUGGAAUUCCGCGUGUAGCAGUGAAAUGCGUAGAUAUGCGGAGGAACACCGAUGGCGAAGGCAAUCCCCUGGGCCUGCACUGACGCUCAUGCACGAAAGCGUGGGGAGCAAACAGG
rnacentral:rRNA from 1 species